CGGGGGACGGUCGCAGGGCGUGGGGGGUGGUGGUCGUGGUGGGGGUGGUGGUGAGGGGGUGUCUCUGCGUCUGGGUAUUUUUUUAAGGUGCGGAAACUCCGCGCUGGGGCGGACGCUGGUCUCAGGCCGAGGUUUCCAUGGCCUCGGGUCACCCCGGCGCGGGGCGCGGCCACCAGCGGGAAUUAUCGCGAAUAACAACAACAAAACAGCAACAGUGAAGCGGUGGGGCUGGGUGCCGGGGGGGGGGGGGGGCGGUGACGGGCGCGGCCGGAGGCCCGGGUUUCCACGGGGAAGGCGGCCCCCUCCACGCGUGACGGGACGGCGCCCCCCGCGGCCGCUGGCGGUUAUGUAAGGGGCUCCCCCCGGGGACAGCGGGGCCGGUGAGAGCCGGGGGGGGACCGGCUUCUGUGGACGGUAGAAAUUUGGAACAGUGUGUCAUUGAAAGCAAAGUCCUGGGUAACAGUUUUCUCAUCCUUGUCAUGAAAGUUAAUCAGAAUUUAAUUUUUUAUUUUAAGAAAAGAAUUGCUGUCGAUCCACAAAAGAUACAGCUUGAAGUUUCUGACGCAUCGGAAAUGAAAUACCGUGUGUAACCUCAUGGAGAUGAUGAGGUGCCAGAUACCAGCAGCUUUUGAGUCAUUAGAGAGACAUUUUGUCCUGAUGCAGCCAUUACCUCAAUGUUGUCCCCAGCCACUAUGGUUUCCAGUAGGCCACAAACAUCCUGGUAUGAUCAGGAACAGGGUAGCUCCCAUCGGUGGAGCUGCCAGAAAGGAAGCCCUGUUUACAACUGAUACUCAGCCAUUUCUGCUCUCAGAGCUAACAGAGGAGUCCAAGGGCAGAACCUACUUGAAAACUGCAGAUACAAUAGGUACGCUUGCACCACUUUGUAACAACAUAGGUUCACUUACUUGCACAAAUGUUUUUGAAACUUGCACUUUUUAGAGUGGAGUAGGUAAAUGGUAAAAAUACAUUGUAAGCAGUGGGAUUUCUGACCUUAAUUAGUGAUUAGACUGGGUCAGAUUUGAUAUACCAGAGAGAGAAUAUAGUUUGUAUAUAAAAGUUUAUAGCUCAAUUGUUCGCAGCCCUGUGAACAGAGCCCUUACCUUCCAACUUGUAAUUUUACCUGUGAUCCAGUGUUUCUUUAUAUUUUUCCCUAGAGCUCAUUUUAGUGUCGCUCAGCAGUAGGUACCGUGCUGUAUCUGACUUUGCCCUCACAAAAGCAGAUGAACCUGGUGGCUAUUGCUGAAUGUCCUUUUAAAAUUAUAGUUGUGCUUAGCAGCCAUGGAGUUAGUUUUGAAGAUACAUGCUGGUGAUUUCUUACUUAGACACUUAAUUAUCAUAUUGGCUAUUAUGAUUUUACAAUCAGGUUCCAUCUGGGUAAUCUUAAAAAGAGUUAGUGUGCCCUUCAAGUAAUGAAAAAUUGGUAUAACUGUAAGUUAGUGUGGCUGAUAAUGAUUGCAUCCAUCUCAGUGACAAUUUACAUGUGAAUAAAUUGUAAAAAUAAGUGAAGAGCCAUUUUCAGUCACAGUUCCCUCCUGUUCAUCUUGUGUUUUAUUUAGAUCCCUUUCCAGGUAUCAGCAACAUGCUUAGCAAACACCAGUGUGCUGAGUAACGCUGCCAGAUUUCUCAAGCUCUAGCUUCUCUAUUGCGAACAGCCCUAGGAUGUAAGAUGCUAAGCUGAGGGUCAUCAGCUUUGUGUUGACUGGUUCAAAGGCCUUUACCUAAAGUUGUGUUUGCUUCUUGAUCUACAAUGAAAUUGAGUUAUUUUAUCAUCCAGUUACAUUAUCAUGUUUCCUUUAACAGCAGCAAUUUUUCAACCUUGACAAACCCACCAACUGGUGAUGAGUAGUCAUUUGGAGUUGAAUCAAGGUUACUUCACUGUACAGCAAACAUACUGAGCCUGCUGAAGUGACCUGUUCUUGUUUUUCCUAUGCAGCCACAGUGAUGGUGGGAAAUUAGAGGCUGGGUAUGAAAGAAAGGGGCAGCGGGGUGAUCUAAUUUCUCCCAGUAUAGUCUGCUGUUAAUAUAUUUUCAUAGAAAUUCUAAAAAUCAUUUUUCUUCCAGUCUGUAUUUGAAACUUGUCUACAAAAAGGGAAUACUGUUGUCUUAUCCAAGAAUCUAAAGUAUUCCAUAACUUUUUCUGGUUUAGCUGUUAAUCAUAUAGUGCAUGCAGCAAUAUUUACCUGCAAUCAUUUGAUUAAAAAAAGGAUGACUAAGGAGGAUUAACAAGAUUGCUUGUAACAGUGGUAAAAAGGUUUACUUCAAAACUGUAGUAGCUGCUGACUUACUGUAAGAAAGAGUUGGAAAAAACAUCUUCAUUUUAGCUGGCUGUGGUCCACCUUUGAAACUAACUACACAAGAAACAGGAGUUUGGUGUAGUUAAAUACAAAAACUUGCAUGUGUGAUUCUGCGGCAGUGCUUGUAAUACCACGAUCCACUAAAAUGCUUGUGAUAUCCAGGACAAAUGAAUUAACUUUACUGGUAACAUCUCAGCUAUUCAUCCAAGCAACCCAUGGUAAGUAUCGAAGACUAUAUGCAUUUAAAAAAAAUGUGUAUUUCAAAAGAACCCAAACACCCAAGUGUUUGGUAUUCUUGUUUUCAUACUGUUUGCAUCACCACUAAAACCGUCCCUGGCAAGGAUUGUAGAGGACAAAAAACUUUGUAGUAUGUUAGCAACAACAUGUUUUAGCAAAUGUGUAUUUCCAUCAGUAGAUGAAAAAGGGGUGGUGGAUUAAGUGUUUCUGUUUUACACGUGACAAAACCUGCAAAAUGUGUUUGUAGUUUAUGAAGAUGAAAUAAAGCCGUUUUCAGUCUACGAGCAA